rnacentral:tRNA from 1 species
GGGUAUAUAGCACGGUGGUGGAGUGCAUGCCUAGCACGCACGAGGUCCUGGGUUCAAUCCCCAGUACUUCCA